UUUUUUUCUUUAUUUUUCCCCAGUAUUAUUUCUAAGUUGCUCCAAAAUAUAGCAAAGUUGUGCUGCCAUUCUCCUUGGUUGCUAUGCAUUUACAAGGGGUAAGUGGUGUGUCUAACUAUAUUGUAUAUAGAAACAAUACCCUGAGAUUGUUUCUAUCCUUCUUAAAUCAUCAUAGCUUUCAACAAAUCGUUUUAGAACAACUGGAUAUGCACAUGCAAACAAAAAUGACUUUAGACACGUACCUUAGAUGCUUUACAAAAAUUAACUCAAAAUCUGUCAUAAAUCUAAAUGCAAAACACAAUACCAUAAAACUUUUAGAAGAUAGUAUGAAAAAACCUGGCUGACCUUGGGUAUGAUAAAAACUACAACACCAAAGACAUGAUCCAUGAAAGAAAUAAUUAAUAAAUUAGACUUCAUUAAAAUUGAAAGCUUGUGCUCUGCAAGAGACAGUAUCUAGAGAAUGAAAAGAUAAGCCACAGAUUGGAAGAAAAUAUUUGAAAAAGAUACAUCUGAUUAAGGACUGUUUACAAAAUACACAAAGAACCCUUAAAACUUUACAAUAAGAAAGCAAACAAUCUGGUUUUUAAAUAGGCCAAAGACCGUAACCAAAGAAAAUAUAUAGAUAUCAAAAAAAAAUAGAGAUAUCAAACAAGCGCAUGAAAAUGCUCCACAUCAUAUAUCAUCAGAGAAAUGCAAAUUAAAAUAAUAAUGAGAUAUGACUACAUACUUAUAGGAAUGGCCAAAAUCCAGACUUCUGACACCACCAAAUGUGUUCAGUCAAAUGUGGAACAACAGGAACUCUCAUCCAUUGCUGCUGGGAAUGUCAUAUAGUACAGUCACUUUGGAAGACAACUUGAAGGUUUCUUACAAAACUAAAUAUACUCUUAUACAAUUGCACAACUUAAUAUUUACCCAAAGGAGUUGAAGGCUACGUUCACCCAAAAACCUGCAUGUAGACAUUUAUAGAAGCUUUAUUCAUAAUUAUGGAAACUUAAAAGCAGCCAAGAAGUUCUUCUGUAGGUGAAUGGGUAGAUGAACUGUAGCACAUCCAGACAACGCAGUACCAUUCAGCACUAAGUAUAUGGGUGUGAUUCUGGCUGCAACAUCUGUCACCCCAUUGAUCAUUAGGGUUGAUUUGGAUGAUGCAGCUGGAUAGGCAGGUGUCUCCCUUCCUCCCUCCCUACUCAGAGGACAUCCCUCCCAAAGUCGCAUGCUCAUUCAAAGAGGACAAGCUUCCUUUUUUAAAAAAAAAAAAAAAUUAUUUAUUUAUAAGAGAAAGAGAGACAGCAAGAGAGCACAAGCAGGGGGAGGGGCAAAUGGAGAGGGAGAGGCAGAUUCCCUGCUGAGCAGGGAGCUCGAUGUGGGGCUUGAUCCCAUGACCCUGGGAUUGUGACCUGAGCCAAAGACUGAGCCACCCAGGCGCACCCUACCAUUCCAAAUUUUUGAUUCUUCAAUGAGAACAUAUGAGCUGGGGAAUAUUUACAAUUAGCAAUCUUGUGGAAAAUCUGAGACAUGUAUAUGGGCCCCUAAAAAGCAAAGCAAAUUAUAUUUUGUAAGAAAAGAAAAUUCAAAAAAAAAAAAAAA
rnacentral:lncRNA from 1 species